rfam:Human immunodeficiency virus type 1, isolate MN, complete genome.
UGGGUGCGAGAGCGUCGGUA